ACGCUGGCGGCACGCUUAACACAUGCAAGUCGAACGGAGUUUAUUGGAGCUUGCUUUGAUAAACUUAGUGGCGGACGGGUGAGUAACACGUGAGCAAUCUGCCCUUAAGAGGGGGAUAGCAGUUGGAAACGACUGAUAAUACCGCAUAAGAUAGUAGUACCGCAUGGUACAGCUAUAAAAGAUUUAUCGCUUAAGGAUGAGCUCGCGUCUGAUUAGCUAGUUGGUGAGGUAACGGCUCACCAAUGCAACGAUCAGUAGCCGGACUGAGAGGUUGGACGGCCACAUUGGGACUGAGACACGGCCCAGACUCCUACGGGAGGCAGCAGUGGGGAAUAUUGCACAAUGGAGGAAACUCUGAUGCCAGCGAUGCCGCGUGAGGGAAGAAGGUUUUAGGAUUGUAAACCUCUGUUGACAGGGACGAUAAUGACGGUACCUGUUGAGGAAGCUCCGGCUAACUACGUGCCAGCCGCAGC
rnacentral:rRNA from 1 species